UGUAUAUGUGUAUAUGUAAGUGUGUUCUUAUUUGAUUUUACUUAUGUAUUUUUUUUUUUCAAUGUCACUGCACUUGUGCCUUUAUUAUACAUACAUAUGUAUAUGUAUAUUGUAUAUACAUCCUUUUCCUCUAUGUUUUCUAUAAUUUCACUCUUUCACUACACUUGUUCACUUUGUCACCAAUUGUAAUUUUUUUGUAAAUUUUAAUAUUUUUUUUUUUUUUUUGCUAUUUAUUUCACUAUAGGGCCAUUCAGGGUGGCUCUCGAAGGACCAUAGAUAAGUUUACACUUACGUUUUCACUCCGGAAAGAAGAUUCUCUGUACACAAUGCGUUGAUUUUUAAAAAAAAUGGGAUCACAAUUUUAUUUGAUGAAAUGACGAAUGAUACAAUACCACUCUCCCUGGUCGAACACCAGUGGAGGCGUGAGACUUAUGUUUACACAAUUAGAUAGGAGACACCUGUAACUUAUGUUAUUAGAUGUGGAUUGAACUGCUGCGCCGAAGGACGCCAGAUGUAACAGGAUGCCCUCCGCUGCGUGCCGAAGAUCGCCAGAUUUAAGAGGAUGCCCUCCGCUGCGUGUCGAAGAUCGCCAGAUUGAAAAAGGAUGAUUUUUGAAAAUGUAUAAAGUUGCGUAGAUUGCGUGCCGAACACGAAAACGAUAUAAAAAUGCUUUGAUAGUGUGACGAAUAUGAAAAUGUACAAAGUCGCGUGAAUUGCGUGCCGAAGAUGAAAAACUGAUAUAAAAUUGCUUUGAUUGCGUGCCGAAGAUGAAAAACUGAUAUAAAAUUGCUUUGAUUGCGUGCCGAAGAUGAAAAACGAUAGAUGGAAACUCGAAGCUGCGUAUAGCAAUGUCCGCCGAUGUUAUUCGCUCAAAAAUCGUGAUCGAAAAGGGACGCUUCUUUUAGGACGAGCCCUUUUUUGCUCGUUGGGCUGUGGAGAGUUAUGGUGGGUUGAUGUACGGCGUGUAUUGGUGUGUGUGUGUGGGUGUAGACUGCUGCUUCCAACGAUGUUGACGAUGAGUGUGGUCUCCAAAUGUGGAGAGUGUGCCAGCGUUGCUUUUUGAUCGACAGAGUUGCUUUAUGCGUGGCGUGUUGUGGGGUGUAGUGCUGUAUGAGGGCGGAAGGCUUAACUCAUUUAGCCAAUACAAAAGUGAAAAAUUUUUAUCAGAAAUGGAAAAUAAUAUUAAAAAGCGAAAUUUAUGGAAGCAUAAAAUGCUUCAGUAAUUAAACAGAACCAUGUGUUGAAACUUCUUGAUAGUAAGGUAAAACGCAACAAAAAUGUUUUUGAAGAAGUGGCUCGUGAACUAAAGGCAAAGGGACAUAAUAAGGAUGCAGUAAAAUAAAAACGAAGUUUAAAGCAUUAAAAAGUGAAUACUAUAAAGUAAAGCGUAAUAAUAACACCAGUGGCGCUGAAAGACAGACAUGCGAAUAUGUUGACCUACUGGUUGAAGUUUUAAGCCAUCGCCCAGCAAUAGCGACAGAGGGAGAGGACACCUCACACAAUAAUUCGGAGAAUGGUACAGCUGAAUCUGAACCCUAUCAAAUUCAAGCAAGUUCAUCGAAAACUUUUAAAAAUCCAAAAAAGAAAGCCUACCAAAGGGUAAUGGAGUCUUUUACCAAAGACUGGAAGCAGACUUAGGACAAUUUAAUCGGCGCAAUAAAGGAGCAGAACACAAAUUAUUUAAGCACCAUGGAAAAAUUAUUGGAAAAAAUCGCGUAGAAACAGCCAAAAUGCUGGAAGAGGAUCGUCGUGAGACAGCUAAUAUGUUUUCAAACAUGGUCAGCAUGAUCCAGCCGCCAUCACUUACAUCAAUGUGGUAUCCCCACCAAAUUAGGGUUCCAUCACGUAGUGCAGUGCUAUCUGAUUCAUUGUUCAGUAAUUUUUUGACUUCUCAAGUAAUGGUAUUUUUGCAUCCACACCGCAGUCAUCUCCAGCUAAAUAACAUGACCUUGAUAUUAGCUGUUAACUUUUUAAGUAAUAUUAAUUAAUGAAUUGUAAGAGCUCUUUAAUUUUCUAAUACACGUUUUGAAAAUGUUAAAGUUUA